GAACGCUGGCGGCGUGCUUAACACAUGCAAGUCGAGCGGAAAGGCCCUUCGGGGUACUCGAGCGGCGAACGGGUGAGUAACACGUGAGCAACCUGCCCUAGGCUUUGGGAUGCCCCCGGGAAACCGGGGCUUUUGCCGAAUAGGACCUCUGGCCGCAUGGCCGGGGGUGGAAAGUUUUUCGGCUUGGGAUGGGCUCGCGGCCUAUCAGCUUGUUGGUGGGGUGAUGGCCUACCCAGGCGACGACGGGUAGCCGGCCUGAGAGGGCGUACGGCCACACUGGGACUCAGACACGGCCCAGACUCCUACGGGAGCCAGCAGUGGGGAAUGUUGCACAAUGGGCGGAAGCCUGAUGCCGCGACGCCGCGUGAGGGAUGACGGCCUUCGGGUUGUAAACCUCUUUCAGCAGGGACGAAGCGUAAGUGACGGUACCUGCAGAAGAAGCGCUGGCCAACUACGUGCCAGCAGCCGCGGUAAGACGUAGGGCGCGAGCGUUGUCCGGAUUUAUUGGGCGUAAAGAGCUCGUAGGCGGC
rnacentral:rRNA from 1 species